rnacentral:rRNA from 1 species
GACGAACGCUGGCGGCGUGCUUAACACAUGCAAGUCGAACGGAAAGGCCCUGCGUUUGUUGGGUGCUCGAUUGGCGAACGGGGGAGUAACACGUGAGUAACCUGCCCUUGACUUUGUGAUAACUUCAGGAAACUGGGGCUAAUACCGGAUAGGAUCUCCUGCUGCAUGGUGGGGGUUGGAAAGUUUCGGCGGUUGGGGAUGGACUCGAUGCUUAUCAGCUUGUUUGGGGGGUAGUGCUUUACCAAGGCUUUGACGGGUAGCCUGCCUGAGAGGGUGACCGGCCACAUUGCGACUGCGAUACGGACCAGACUCCUACGGGAGGCAGAAGUGGAGAAUAUGGCACAACGGGCCGACGCGUGAUGCAGCAAUGCUGCGUGCGUGAUGACGGCCUUCGGGUUGUAAACCGCUUUCGACUGUGACGAAGCGAGCGUGACGGUAAUUGGUCAAAAAGCCCCGGCUAACUACGUG